AGAAAGAUUGGUUGAUAAAGAUUAAGUGAUGUUCAGAAGCAGAAAACACUGUCUGAUCUCUGGUGUGUUUCAACUGUCAAAACACACAGCUUUUUAAGUUUGUUCUGCAUCACUUUGUUUGAACCUCUCAACAGCACUUGUCACUUCAUUAAAUAGUCAUUUUCUUCAGCUCUUAUCUGGCAGCUCUUUACCAACAAUAACUUUGUUGGUCACAUUAUUGUUGACUUUUUAAUCAUUAAACACAUUUGCAUGCAAGAAUCAUACAGGUAGACUGUUAGCAGGCUGUCUUGAUAACCUGAAUGCAAUUCAUACAUGUGCUUAAAAUUCUGUUCAAUACUGACUCUUUUGACUUUAGACUCAAUAAAUAUAUGUUUUGUUCGGGCAGAGACUUUUGACUUGUGUUUAGAAUUUUCAGCCGUGCGUGUUUCAGUUUGACUUAACAAUUCUACAUUUUUUUAUUUGAAGGUUUAAGGAAAAAAACAGUAAUUCGGUGCGAAAUGGAUUGAAACAGUGUGAUACAUACACAGAUAAUGCCAGUGUACCAUUGAAUAUUUGCCAUUAUUGGGACAACAAAAAAAUACUCUCACAUUUAGUCACCUGCUGUUCGUCUUACUUGAUAGUGAAAAUAUAUAUUCUGACUCACGGAGUGUUUUGAAACGUAGCAAGCAAUAUUGAAGUUAGCUAAAUGAGAAAAACUUCUUCUCUCAGCCUUAAAAUCUCAUUCUUCAAUUCACUUCUCUGUGUGAGACUGAAAACAUCUGGCUGGUAAUUACCGGUGUGUGCAAAACAAAUUUCCAUCUAAUCACUGUGACCACAGGUGAGUUAUAGAAAGUGCUAGUAAACAAACCUCCGCGGGCUGCACCAUUUUGAGGGAGGUAAAAAUGUGUUUCCCUGCGCUACACAGCAAUUACUAUGCAAGGGUGCCUCAGGGAUACGGCAUGUGACCCUGCUAUCAACUUUUUACUUCAUUAUUUUGGUAUGUUUGGUGUGGAAUGAAGCAAAUGUUGGGUUUCGAAGGCGCUGUUUUGGUCCACUCAGCCGGAUCCCCCAGAGACAUCUAAGAACACCAGCACAGUGUGGGAUUUCAGGGUGCAUGUUUUCUUAUCGUUCCGAUAAAAAAUGCUCUUUGCAGCCAACAAGUACACGAUAAAUGGCCAUUCCUUGCUGUGUAAUGUACAGGGCACAGCUUCAGCUUUAAUGUAGUUGUGCUUUAGCUUAGCCACCAUCAAAUUUUCAUUUGUCCUGCACGCUUUGUUAGAAAAUAUAUAUGCCUUGUCAUCAGGUUAUUUGAAUAAAUUUCCAAUUUUUGGCCCAUUUUGAAGUGACAGAAAGGUAGGGCCAACUGGGUCGGUGGAGGAAUGUCUGGUCCAACUCAUUUCCACUCCUGAUAUUGGCACUAUUUCCACUGUGAUCCGAGUUGUCGGUCAAUGGAUUCUGCGUUUUACUGAAGUGUCGCAGAGUGGUUUCACCCUCAGUAAGGCAGUAGUGAUGAGAACUGACAAUCGACAACUCCUCCUUUGGAACAUCACGUUGAGAGGAAACACUUGGCCCCACUGGAACGCCUAUGCGUCAACAUGAAACACGGAAGACUGACAUCUGCAUAAACAAUCCAAAAUCGACUUGAAGGUAGUCAAUAUGGGAGGCUGGUCAGGUCUUAUGGUCUUUAGCAGACGGAACGCCACUCAUAGUCACACUUUCAGCAAGUCAUCAGUUAAAACAUCCACAGGUUUUUGGACUAAAGGGAUAAACCACAGUGCCCAAAAGUAACAUCCAAACAACACACGGUCGCACCCAAACCCAGAGAUGGGUUUGAAUACUGGACCAGGUUUCUUGGAUAGCAUUGCCAGCUUUGGUCACCGCCGACAUCAUGAUGAGCAACACAACAUUUGCAGUCAGUAUGUGUCAAGUCUUAUUGAAAAUGAUGUCAUCAGUUACCUCUCAUGCUGUUGCACGAAGCUUGUGGAAAUCCUGGCUUCUUUUUAUUUAGAGUUGGGAUGCGUCACGCCACUCAUGCAUGGGCCUCCUUCAGCUGUUCAUUUUCGGCAUGACUACACAGGUCAGGGAGGGAUCAGGGGUUUUCACCUCACUACCUUUGUAUCCUAAAUUUGAUGUUAGGGAUUGGCACUCUGAUAGUUGUGUUUCCUUGCCUCCUCUUUGUUGUGUGCAAGGGUGUUUUCUCAUGAUUUUACAGUAACUUGAGCAGUCAACAAUCUGUAUGUGUCCUUUGCUUGGAAAAGCUGACGUAUAAAGUGCUCUUAUAACUAGGGGUCACUCAUGAGUUUGUCACUGACAAUUCAAAAGAACACUACUCUGCACAAUGACUGCACUUGUCGUUGAUGUACUGAGUGUUGUAAUUGAGUGAAUUGAGUGAAGACCACUUCCCACACACCUGACCAUGACGCUGAAUACCCCUUACCUAGAAAGAAAGAAUAAAUAACUCUCGUGAGAACCUCUCAUGGAGUAACUGAUGAAUUCAAAUAAGAAAAAUAAACAUCUUGAGGACAAGGCUGAAGGUUGAAACAAUCUGUGGUAUUUUGUUUUUGUUGAUGUUUUGGGAUAUUUUCCUUCCACUGCCUACAGAAAAGCCUUGAUCUCGGUGUGCAGUGUUUCUUCAUUAGAGCAGCAGAGAAAGCGCUCGCAGCAAAGUGACAGGGUGUAAUUUGAGGAAUUUGUGCUUCAGCUCACAGUUGGAUCGCAGUAAACAACAAUUCAGUUUGGAGCAGCUGGACACCUGAGGCGCCAUCAGACGGCGAAACGUAGUCGACGUCUUUAUUAUGGGUCUGUUCAUGACAGAGCUUUUUCAAAGUGUAAAGUGGUUUGUUUGGCAGCGACUCCCUCCAGCACUUCUGGUGGGGCGUCGGGUGAACAGCGAGAAGUCAUCUUCCUGGGUCUGCCCUGAGUCGAGUCUUCCCUCCUAUUAGACAUGCACAAGGGAUCCAUUUAGGACCCCAUCCCAAGGCAUUCUCAGGUCAAAGAGCCAGUUGGACGUCAGGGGCUCUGUCCUCAACUGACUUUGGUCGACGCAGAGUAGCAGCAGUUCUACUUUGUGCCCUUCCCUUUGAGUCAGAGGGUUUCAUAUCCCGCCUUGAAUCCUGAUACCCAGUGAGGGAACUUGUGCCUGUAUCAUGGUUUUUCAGGGUCCCUACUCUCUACGCUUGUGAUCAGACGCGAGAGUUAUUGGUGGAUUUUCUUCUGAUGGAUUCCAAAAUGCUAGCUACUGUAGCCCUAUUCUGAUCCAGGGUUGUGGGGUAAAGUACAUACUGUAGUGACCCGACAUUUUCCUGAGGCCAUUGAAGACUACCGGGACCUUCACCCUCUGUAAAAAAGGUGGGGGUAAAUUCCCAUGGGAAAAACUUGUCCAGUGUUUCCAGAUACAGCGUAUCUCUUGCCAUGUCAUUGUGCUCGAGAGGCAUGGCGAAAUGUAUUUAACGCCUGUGUUCCUCUCAAACAUGAAGUAGGCUUCCUUGCGUCACUCACUUUCACUAAAUCUAGGGCCCCAUUUUGUAUCCCCGUCAAAAUCCGACCGUAGCUCAAAUGCAGAGCGUCACUGAUGUGAUUAUGAAUGAUGUGAAUUCUCCCACUCACUGAAACUUUUGUAAACAAUUUCUGGAAUGUUUAAAACGAUUGCUGUGAUUCGUGAUGCAGAAUCUGUCGGGGAUAAGCACAACACCGGCUCCAAAGUAAUCUCUGAUGUACUGCCAUUCACCCAGAUUCAGUUCAUUCUUUACAGGUUGCACUGAGGGGAUGUGUUUGGCAGCAGUGUCUGAAAGUAAUGUAGCAGACACGCGGCAACAUCGCUGACAUUUAUAGUCUGGCACAAAUCAGCCAUUGAGAUUUAUGUUCAUUUAUGAUUUAUGACUAUUUCGAUCAUCGUACGUUGACUGAAUUUUCUUUCUAUAUGCAUAUUCUGUAAGCGCCAUUCUGUGAUACGCUAUAGAGAGAUUGAACAGUUGUAGACUGAUGAACACAAUCUCUUAUUUGCACCUUUAGUUAUGGGGAGCCUAAGUCCCACCCAUCUACUUCCACCUCAUGUGACCUAAGUGAACAAAACGUAUGAACGGGAGUUAAUGGAGAGAAAAAAAAGUUGUUUUCUGAACAACCUUGAAAUAUACCAUAGAGCUCUUCUAUGAUCUCUGUGAAUUUGAAAAGUUACAAUUUACUUUUUUUUUCACUCAGUAGUUGUUUGAUUUGUAUUCCUAAUAAUUUUCUAGGGGUGGGACUCAAUUUAAAAUGUGUGAUUAAUUAAUCGCAGUUUAAUGCUCAGCCACAUUUUGCCAUUUAAAUAAAUUUGGUAUAUUACUGAAGUGCCAUUUCAGGUACUUUCCAGAACAGUCCUCAUUUUAAACGUCAAAUAAAUGACCAACAAUUCCACAUAAGGUGGUGUUUCUACCAUCUAAAAGGGUAAAACAAACAAAACAAAAAAAACAGUCCUUUGACUGACCUAAAUCCUUUUUAUACUUCCAGCAUCCUGAGCAGAAAUCUCUGUCACAUUAGGCCUAUUUCUACUCUCCUCUUUUUCGGCCAGUUGCUCAGACAAACUAGUCCGUUGACAUUUUCAGAGCUCAAGGCAGCUCUCUUCUUUGUUACGAUGUUACGAAGGGACUAGCCCAACUUGACCACCACUGCAGUGGGCAGUCUGUCUCGCCGAUGGUGGGCUUGGCUCUGCUGCGACUCAGGGCCCUGGUACACUGCACUUCAUCAUCUGAAUCAGAGUCUGAAGACAAUGAAGAGAGAAGGAGACUCCUCUUCUUUGCUGGCUCCUGUGUGCGGUCUGAAGCAUCUCUCUUACUGUACGUACAGACCAAACGCGACUUCCGCGAGCGACACGACUGAUUUGCAUAGAAAGUCAAUGGGGUUGGGCGACUGACGGCGACCAGCGGCGACCAACAUGGCAGCGACACGACUGGGGUGUGCAACGCUACAAGAUUUGAGCUACAUACGGCGACUCCGGCUACUCAAGACGACACAACUGGGGUACAGCGACAGUCGCAGAAGUUCACCACCUGCGGAGCGUUGACCAAUCAGAGACCAGAUCCGCGAGUGACGUGUCCCGGCGGAGGAGAAGCAAAUCGCUGCGGUUGUUUACAAGCAGACUUUCCGCCGUCCUGAGAGUGGCUCAAAUCGUGCAUUUUUUAAUUUCCACCGGAACAUAAAUAGGAAGAAUCUUGUCCGGAGGGAAAGUUCGCCACAACGGUGGCGUUCCUGCCCUUCAUCUCCAAGAGAGACCUCGGCCAACAUGACUGGAGAUGCAGCAGCAGCUGCAGCAGCAAGGUAGCAGGAGAGGAGGAGGAUGGAUCCACUCAUGAUGUUGGUGAUGAUGAUGAGGAGGAGGAUGGACCUUCCUCUGCCUCACCUGGUGCUGCUGCGUCUCCUCCACCUGCCACUGUCCCCUCCUCAUCCACUGCUGCUCCUGAUGACACCGAUGGAAGAGACCAACAGAGGAAGGGGUCCCCCGAUGCUGAAGCUGAGCUCAAACUAUCUACUAAUGUACUCCCUCCACACACCCAGCUCAGAAGAAGGGACAGUUUUCAAGGUCCUCGUUCCUUCCAGGUUCCACAUAAAUUUAAAAUGUACAUGUUACUUUACCAAGCAAAACAACAGCUGACUGAAAUCAUUUGGACCCUUCAUUUAUUUUCUUUGUAGCCACAGUUUCAUUAAAGAACCGGAUGCCGCCCCACUUCCUCCGCCUCUCUUGACCCUCGUCCCUCUGAGGAAGAUCCUUCAAAACACACCUACGUAGUUCACUUCAAGUUUGACUGUGAUUCUGUGUGUAUUGAAUGAGUAUAAAUGAAUGGGGUUACUUUAUUUUUGCAAAUAAAGUGUUUGACAAUGAACAUUUCUUUU